rnacentral:lncRNA from 1 species
UCAGGGAUCAAACUGGAGAGGAACGCUGCUGAUGGUGCAACCAGCCGUUCAUCCCGCUGAGCGUUGAAAAGCUGCUGCUCCUCUUCUUCUGUGAUGGAGUCGAUGUGGAGAAUGAGACGAUGUCAGUUUCUCUGUGACAGCCGAGCAAAGUUGAGCCGCUGAAGAAGUGAAGAAGCUCCACAAGGGCGCCGAGGAGGGUCUUAUAGCCGCGGCUGGGAGAACACGUGCCGGCCCGGAGUUUGUUACCGGCUCAAACGUGAGAGCGCUGGACUGCAUGAGGCGCUGUGUACAUUCAGCUGACUGCCUGGUAUCCUGGGAAGACCCGUCACACAGGCCAGGAGCG